rnacentral:rRNA from 1 species
GACGAACGCUGGCGGCGUGCCUGACACAUGCAAGUCGGACGGUUCUUGCACCUUCAAGCUUGCUUGCUGGUGCAGGGAUAGUGGCGGACGGGUGAGUAACGCGUGAACAUCUACCCAUUGGAGGGGGACAACCCGUCGAAAGGCGGGCUAAUACCGCGUAAGCCGCGAGGUGAGAGGCUGCCUAUUGGUGGCCGCCGAUGGAUGGGUUCGCGUCCUAUCAGCUGGUUGGUGGGGUAACGGCCUACCAAGGCGAAGACGGGUAGCCGGUCUGAGAGGAUGGCCGGCCACACUGGAACUGAGACACGGUCCAGACUCCUACGGGAGGCAGCAGUGGGGAAUAUUGGGCAAUGGGGGAGACCCUGACCCAGCGACGCCGCGUGAGGGAUGAAGGUUUUCGGAUCGUAAACCUCUGUUGUACGGGAAGAAGGACUUGACGGUACCGUACGAGGAAGCCCCGGCAAACUACGUGCCAGCAGCCGCGGUAAGACGUAGCGUG